GUGUUUCCUUUGGUAGCACAUAUGUUAAAAAACUGGAAUAAUACUGAGAAGAUUAGCAUGGUCCCUGCCCAAGGAAGACACACAAAUUUGUGAAGACUUCAUAUUUUUU
ensembl:snRNA U6 U6 spliceosomal RNA